UCCAGACUCCUACGGGAGGCAGCAGUGGGGGAUAUUGCACAAUGGGGGGAACCCUGAUGCAGCGACGCCGCGUGGGUGAAGAAGCGCCUCGGCGCGUAAAGCCCUGUCAGCAGGGAAGAAAAUGACGGUACCUGAAGAAGAAGCCCCGGCUAACUACGUGCCAGCAGCCGCGGCAAUACGUAGGGGGCAAGCGUUAUCCGGAUUUACUGGGUGUAAAGGGAGCGUAGACGGCCAGACAAGUCUGAAGUGAAAAUCCAGCGGGUAACGGUGGAAGUGCUUUGGAAACUGCCGGGCUAGAGUGCAGGAGGGGGAGGCGGAAUUCCUGGUGUAGCGGUGAAAUGCGUAGAUAUUAGGAGGAGCACCAGUGGCGAAGGCGGCCUGCUGGAGUGCAACUGACGUUGAGGCGCGAAGGCGUGGGGAGCAAACAG
rnacentral:rRNA from 1 species